rnacentral:sRNA from 1 species
UGAGUCUGUUGAAGCCGUGAAAACCACAA